AUUGAACGCUGGCGGCAGGCUUAACACAUGCAAGUCGGACGGUAACAGGGAGGAAGCUUGCUUUCUUUGCUGACGAGUGGCGGACGGGUGAGUAAUGCUUGGGAAUCUGUUUUAUGGAGGGGGAUAACUACGGGAAACUGUAGCUAAUACCGCAUAAUAUCGAGAGAUUAAAGUGUGGGACCGUAAGGCCACAUGCCAUAGAGUGAGCCCAAGUGGGAUUAGGUAGUUGGUGGGGUAAAGGCCUACCAAGCCGUCGAUCUCUAGCUGGUCUGAGAGGAUGACCAGCCACACUGGGACUGAGACACGGCCCAGACUCCUACGGGAGGCAGCAGUGGGGAAUAUUGCACAAUGGGCGCAAGCCUGAUGCAGCCAUGCCGCGUGAAUGAAGAAGGCCUUCGGGUUGUAAAGUUCUUUCGGUGGUGAGGAAGGUUGUAAUGUUAAUAGCAUUAUAAUUUGACGUUAGCCACAGAAGAAGCACCGGCUAACUCCGUGCCAGCAGCCGCGGUAAUACGGAGGGUGCGAGCGUUAAUCGGAAUAACUGGGCGUAAAGGGCACGCAGGCGGAUACUUAAGUGAGGUGUGAAAGCCCUGGGCUUAACCUAGGAAUUGCAUUUCAUACUGGGUAUCUAGAGUAUUUUAGGGAGGGGUAGAAUUCCACGUGUAGCGGUGAAAUGCGUAGAGAUGUGGAGGAAUACCGAAGGCGAAGGCAGCCCCUUGGGGGAAUACUGACGCUCAUGUGCGAAAGCGUGGGGAGCAAACAGG
rnacentral:rRNA from 1 species